UACGUAGGGUGCAAGCGUUGUCCGGAAUUAUUGGGCGUAAAGAGCUCGUAGGUGGCCUGUCGCGUCGGCUGUGAAAACUCGGGGCUCAACUCCGAGCUUGCAGUCGAUACGGGCAGGCUAGAGUUCGGCAGGGGAGACUGGAAUUCCUGGUGUAGCGGUGAAAUGCGCAGAUAUCAGGAGGAACACCGGUGGCGAAGGCGGGUCUCUGGGCCGAUAUUGACGCUGAGGAGCGAAAGCGUGGGGAGCGAACAGG
rnacentral:rRNA from 1 species